rnacentral:lncRNA from 1 species
GUGCGAUUGGCUCAGGCAUAAGCACAAUGACCCAGGCUGGGCCAAUGACGAGCCUCAGGAGUUGCUAAGCCGACUAGAAGUGGGCCUGCAGCCAUGAGGCCAUCUUGCCACAUAAGUUGACCUUUCGUAGAGGGAAGUCCUUCCUGGAAAGCAGAGCCAGAGGUUCUGGGAGGCAGACUUCUGAUCCCUUGAGGUUCUGGAUCCAAUCAAGCCCAAGACUGGAUUACUAGAAGCUUCCUGGAUACAGGAGCCAAUUCACUAUUUUCAUGUUUUUAUGUAGCCAGUUGGGUUUGAACUUCUCAUAACUUGCAACCGAGACAGUCAUGGAUGUCAAGGGUGAUGAACCGUCAGUUUGUCUAGCCCUGGGCAGGCCCAUUUGUGCCCACGAGUGAGCCUCCUAGUAGUCCUGCAGACCCACAUUGGCCCCUCACGUGGAAGGUCUGGAAAUCCACUGGCCCUGGUUGUGUAGAUGCCAGGCCUGCACAUGGGAGUGGACAUUAGACUCAUUGUCUCAAUUCCCCAGGAAUCCUGACUUCCCUGGCAUCAUCCCUCGGCCACACGCUUACAUCAGUCAUGUGGGAAUCCACUGAUGACUCAGCCUGGUGGCCUUGGAAGCCCCUGUGUGCCCGUGCAGGGCAAGCUCUAGUGGACUGGGGUGGACCAGCAUGGCCCUGCCCUCCAGGAGCUCCCAGGGACACCUCACACACUCUGUGGCAAGAAAGCUCCAAGUUAGAGCAUCUGCAAUUCAGCCCAGUGUGCAACAAGCCAUAUGGUAUGAAUGUGAAACAGAAGACAACAGAAGCCCCUCAUCCGCCUUCGUCUGCAGAACUCCCUCGAAAGCGGGGACCAUGGGCUCCUCCCGCCCUGCCCGUCCUCGCAGAGGCUGGACAGCUUCAUCCAUUCAUUCAUCCAUCAUUCGCUGAACUCCUGUCCCAUGCCAAGGGCUGUUCUCCCACCAGCGACAGAGGGAACCAAGACAGAAGAGACCUGUCGUCAGGUGGGAGAAGGAUCAGGUCAUAA